GACGAACGCUGGCGGCGUGCUUAACACAUGCAAGUCGAACGGAAAGGCCCUGCUUUUGUGGGGUUCUCGAGUGGCGAACGGGUGAGUAACACGUGAGUAACAUGCCCUUGACUUUGGGAUAACUUCAGGAAACUGGGGCUAAUACCGGAUAGGAGCUCCUGCUGCAUGGUGGGGGUUGGAAAGUUUCGGCGGUUGGGGCUGGACUCGCGGGUUAUCAGCUUGUUUGUGGGGUAUUGGCUUACCACGGCUGUGACGGGUAGCCGGCCUGAGAGGGUUACCGGCCACAAUGGGCCUGAGAUAGGGACCAGUCUCCUACGGGAGGCAGCAGUGGGGAAUCUGACACAGUGGGGCGAAGCCUGAUGCAGAAACGCCGCGUGCGGGAAGACGGCCUUCGGGUUGUGAACCGCUUUCGCCUGAGACGAAGCGUGAGUGACGGUAAUGGGUAAAGAAGCACCGGCUAACUACGUG
rnacentral:rRNA from 1 species